UUUCCGUAGGUGAACCUGCGGAAGGAUCAUUAUUGUAUAACCGAGGUGCGAGGGCUGUCGCUGACCCGACAGGUCGUGCACGCCCGAGUGCCCUCACACACAUCCAUCUCACCCCUAUGUGCACCACCGCGUGGGUCCCCCUUUGGCUUGUUCGGAGGGGGGCUUACGUUUUCACACAAACUUUGUAUGCAGUGUAGAAUGUAUUUUUUGUUUUUGCGAUCACGCAAUCAAUACGACUUUCAACAACGGAUCUCUUGGCUCUC
rnacentral:misc_RNA from 1 species